ACAUACCUCUGGUGUACCAGUUGUCGUGCCAACGGCAUAGCUGGGUAGCUAUGUGUGGACGGGAUAAGUGCUGAAAGCAUCUAAGCAUGAAGCCCCCCUCAAGAUGAGAUUUCCCAACUUCGGUUAUAAGAUCCCUCAAAGAUGAUGAGGUUAAUAGGUUCGAGGUGGAAGCAUGGUGACAUGUGGAGCUGACGAAUACUAAUCGAUCGAAGACUUAAUCAAAUU
rnacentral:rRNA from 1 species